rnacentral:rRNA from 1 species
UGGGGAAUUUUGCACAAUGGGGGAAACCCUGAUGCAGCGACGCCGCGUGAUUUAGAAGGCCUUCGGGUUGUAAAAAUCUUUUGUAUAGGAAGAAAAUGACAGUACUAUACGAAUAAGGUCCGGCUAAAUACGUGCCAGCAGCCGCGGUAAUACGUAUGGACCGAGCGUUAUCCGGAAUCAUUGGGCGUAAAGGGUACGUAGGCGGUUAAAUAAGUUAGAAGUGAAAUCCCAUAGCUCAACUAUAGUAAGCUUCUAAAACUGUAUAACUUGAGAAAUGAAAGGGAAAGUGGAAUUCCUAGUGUAGCGGUGAAAUGCGCAGAUAUUAGGAGGAAUACCGGUGGCGAAGGCGACUUUCUGGUCAUAUUCUGACGCUGAGGUACGAAAGCGUGGGUAGCAAACAGG